UGACCUCGGAUCAGGUAGGAAUACCCGCUGAACUUAAGCAUAUCAAUAAGCGGAGGAACGUUUGC
rnacentral:rRNA from 1 species